AUGUAUCUCUCUCAUAGCCCAGAGGAGAGGAGAGCAAGAUGGAAAGAAGAUACUGUGGUGAGAUGGCAGGAAAGAGGACACAAAAGGGAAGAGAUUGGUACUAGGCUUUGGCAUCGUGCUGGGCUUAUGGUGAAUACAAGAAGAGCUCCUGUGGUCAGCCAUCCCAGUCCAGAGGAGAGAAGGUGGGUGAGCACAGGCGGGUGUCUGAGGGCCAGAGGAGAGAAGGUGGGUGAGCAGGGGAAGG
rnacentral:lncRNA from 1 species